rnacentral:tRNA from 1 species
GAUGGUAUAGUUUAGGGGUAGAGUGCAUGCUUAGCAUGCACAAGGUCCUGGGUUCAAUCCCCAGUACCUCCU